rnacentral:rRNA from 1 species
UCGGGAAUAUUGGGCAAUGGGGGAAACCCUGACCCAGCAACGCCGCGUGAGUGAUGAAGGCCUUCGGGUCGUAAAGCUCUGUCCUUGGGGACGAAGAAUGACGGUACCCAAGAAGAAAGCCACGGCUAACUACGUGCCAGUAGCCGCGGUAAUACGUAGGUGGCAAGCGUUGUCCGGAAUUACUGGGCGUAAAGGGCGAGUAGGCGGUAACACAAGUCAGAUGUGAAAGGCGAGGGCUCUACCCUCGGAUUGCAUUUGAAACUGUGUAACUUGAGUGCGGUAGAGGAAAGUGGAAUUCCCAGUGUAGCGGUGAAAUGCGUAGAUAUUGGGAGGAACACCAGUGGCGAAGGCGACUUUCUGGGCCGUAACUGACGCUGAGGCGCGAAAGCGUGGGGAGCGAACAGGAUUAGAUACCCUGGUAGUCCACGCCGUAAACGAUGGAUGCUAGGUGUGGGAGGUAUCGACCCCUUCCGUGCCGGAGUUAACGCAAUAAGCAUCCCGCCUGGGGAGUACGACCGCAAGGUUG